rnacentral:rRNA from 1 species
AGGCUUAACACAUGCAAGUCGAGGGGCAUCAGGAAGAAAGCUUGCUUUCUUUGCUGGCGACCGGCGCACGGGUGAGUAACACGUAUCCAACCUGCCCUUUACUCGGGGAUAGCCUUUCGAAAGAAAGAUUAAUACCCGAUAGCAUAAUGAUUCCGCAUGGUUUCAUUAUUAAAGGAUUCCGGUAAAGGAUGGGGAUGCGUUCCAUUAGGUUGUUGGUGAGGUAACGGCCCACCAAGCCUUCGAUGGAUAGGGGUUCUGAGAGGAAGGUCCCCCACAUUGGAACUGAGACACGGUCCAAACUCCUACGGGAGGCAGCAGUGAGGAAUAUUGGUCAAUGGGCGCUAGCCUGAACCAGCCAAGUAGCGUGAAGGAUGAAGGCUCUAUGGGUCGUAAACUUCUUUUAUAUAAGAAUAAAGUGCAGUAUGUAUACUGUUUUGUAUGUAUUAUAUGAAUAAGGAUCGGCUAACUCCGUGCCAGCAGCCGCGGUAAUACGGAGGAUCCGAGCGUUAUCCGGAUUUAUUGGGUUUAAAGGGAGCGUAGGUGGACUGGUAAGUCAGUUGUGAAAGUUUGCGGCUCAACCGUAAAAUUGCAGUUGAUACUGUCAGUCUUGAGUACAGUAGAGGUGGGCGGAAUUCGUGGUGUAGCGGUGAAAUGCUUAGAUAUCACGAAGAACUCCGAUUGCGAAGGCAGCUCACUGGACUGCAACUGACACUGAUGCUCGAAAGUGUGGGUAUCAAACAGGAUUAGAUACCCUGGUAGUCCACACAGUAAACGAUGAAUACUCGCUGUUUGCGAUAUACAGUAAGCGGCCAAGCGAAAGCAUUAAGUAUUCCACCUGGGGAGUACGCCGGCAACGGUGAAACUCAAAGGAAUUGACGGGGGCCCGCACAAGCGGAGGAACAUGUGGUUUAAUUCGAUGAUACGCGAGGAACCUUACCCGGGCUUAAAUUGCAGUGGAAUGAUGUGGAAACAUGUCAGUGAGCAAUCACCGCUGUGAAGGUGCUGCAUGGUUGUCGUCAGCUCGUGCCGUGAGGUGUCGGCUUAAGUGCCAUAACGAGCGCAACCCUUAUCUUUAGUUACUAACAGGUUAUGCUGAGGACUCUAGAGAGACUGCCGUCGUAAGAUGUGAGGAAGGUGGGGAUGACGUCAAAUCAGCACGGCCCUUACGUCCGGGGCUACACACGCGUUACAAUGGGGGGGUACAGAAGGCAGCUAGCGGGUGACCGUAUGCUAAUCCCAAAAUCCUCUCUCAGUUCGGAUCGAAGUCUGCAACCCGACUUCGUGAAGCUGGAUUCGCUAGUAAUCGCGCAUCAGCCACGGCGCGGUGAAUACGUUCCCGGGCCUUGUACACACCGCCCGUCAAGCCAUGGGAGCCGGGGGUACCUGAAGUACGUAACCGCAAGGAUCGUCCUAGGGUAAAACUGGUGACUGGGGCUAAGUCGU